AGAUGUACCGGAACCAUCGCCAAACAACUGAGAAUAAGUAGGUGCUGCUGGUUUUCCUCCUAGGAGCCAUCUAAAAAAAUUAAAAUAAAUUUAAUCAAUUACGACAUAAUUAAAAAAUUAUUCUGUCACUUAACAAAUCACCUAAACUAUUAUUCCGUCACCUAACUAAUCACCUAAACUAAUUACCUAACUAAUCACCUAAACUAAUUACUUAACUAAUUAAUCAUCUAAACUA
rnacentral:lncRNA from 1 species